rnacentral:rRNA from 1 species
UGGGGAAUUUUGCGCAAUGGGCGAAAGCCUGACGCAGCAACGCCGCGUGCGGGAUGAAGGCCUUCGGGUUGUAAACCGCUUUCAGCAGGGAUGAAACUGACAGUACCUGCAGAAGAAGCCCCGGCUAAAUACGUGCCAGCAGCCGCGGUAAUACGUAUGGGGCAAGCGUUAUCCGGAUUCAUUGGGCGUAAAGAGCGCGUAGGCGGAUUGUUAAGCGCGAUGUGAAAACUGGGGGCUCAACCCGCAGCCUGCAUCGCGAACUGGCAGUCUUGAGUCUGGUAGAGGAAAGUGGAAUUCCCAGUGUAGCGGUGAAAUGCGCAGAUAUUGGGAGGAACACCAGUGGCGAAGGCGGCUUUCUGGGCCACGACUGACGCUGAGGCGCGAAAGCUAGGGGAGCAAACAGG